rnacentral:rRNA from 1 species
UUCCUUCUCCAGGAGCGUAUAUUAAAGUUGAUGCAGUUAAAAAGCUCGUAGUCUGAGGUUUGCGGGUGCUGGGGUGGUGUGCGUGAGCGCAGUGUCCUGGUGCGUGCAUUUCUGGGGCUGGGUGACUGGUGCCCUUGAUUGGGUGCUUGGUGCCUGCCCUGCCUUUACUUUGAAAAAAUUAGAGUGUUCAAAGCAAGCGUGUUGCAUGAAUAGUUCAGCAUGGAAUAAUGGAAUAGGACCUUGGUCUUGUUUCGUUGGUUUCCAGGGCCGAGGUAAUGAUGAAUAGGGACAGUUGGGGGCAUUCGUAUUUAGUUGUCAGAGGUGAAAUUCUUGGAUUUACUACAGACGAACAUCUGCGAAAGCAUCUGCCAAGGAUGUUUUCAUUA